GCUCCGGCGCGGCUCUUGAAAACGUCGCGGCCGCCAGCUGGGCGCCUUUUGGUUCGGGAACCCGCUCGCGGUGGAUUCCUAAAUGACCCUGCUGAACAGCAAAGGGGAUGGCUAUGAGGAGCCAGUACUGUUCCAUGGACGCUGGACUGGACAGGGCAAAGCGAUCCUGUUCCAUGCCAGAUGGGAAUGUUCAACUACAGUUUGACAGUCAGCAUAGAAAAAGCAGAGAUGAGACACAAAAUCAGAACAAGGAAGUCUUGAC